rnacentral:rRNA from 1 species
GAUGAACGCUGGCGGCGUGCCUAACACAUGCAAGUCGAGCGGCAGCGAGGGGUGCUUGCACCCUGUCGGCGAGCGGCGGACGGCUGAGUAACGCGUGGGAACGUGCCCCAAAGUGAGGAAUAACUGCCCGAAAGGGUAGCUAAUACCGCAUAUUAUCUUCGGAUCAAAGGAUUUAUCCGCUUUGGGAGCGGCUCGCGUCGGAUUAGGUAGUUGGUGAGGUAAUGGCUCACCAAGCCGACGAUCCGUAGCUGGUCUGAGAGGAUGACCAGCCAGACUGGAACUGAGACACGGUCCAGACUCUUACGGGAGGCAGCAGUGAGGAAUCUUCCACAAUGGGCGAAAGCCUGAUGGAGCAACGCCGCGUGCAGGACGAAGGCCUUCGGGUUGUAAACUGCUUUUAUAAGUGAGGAAUAUGACGGUAACUUAUGAAUAAGGAUCGGCUAACUACGUG